UUCUCUGCAAAUCACUGAGGGAGAAAUCUUUGUGCAGUCUGCUCCGUGAUUUUGCAGCCCCUUCGCAGCCCCAUGACAGAUGCAGCUCUGGGCUUACACCUUCUAAUCCUAAUCCUAGGCUUUGCUAAACUUUAGCUCCCCUAGCGCUGUGGCCCAAAUGAACCAGCUGACACAGGAGAAACACUUUCACAGCUUGCACUGGUGUUUUGCAGUCCUUUCCAGCCUCACACCCACUGCAGGUGUGGGCUCCAGCUCCCCACAGCCCAGGCCUGCCAUGGGUCCCACUGAGCCAAGCCUUCCCGUGGGCCCACAUCGCUGCCUGGCCUCAGCCUGUACCCAGGGAGGAGCCCAAUGCCCAGGGCUGCUCCGGUGCCCCUGGGCUGCUGCUGGCUGGAUGGUAGGACAGGCCCUGGCUGCCCCGUCCUGUCACCCUUAUGGGGAGCCCCCAGCCCUGCAGCACCUGACAAUACCAUGGUGUUGGCUAAGCCCUCAUCGCCCACAGCCCACAGCAGCAGUCUGCACAGAAAAGCUCUCCAGGUCUGUUUCCUGAAAGGCAACUAGUACUGUCAAAUCAAGACAUGUGGUAGAAAGCUCUGGAGUCCCUCUGCUGCAUGCAAUGCAUUCAUGUAUUCCCGAACUUGAGUAACUCAGAAGAGACCAAAAGUUUGACUGAAAUAUGCAAUGGAUAACAGCUGCAAGAUGGGCAUCAUGUUCAAUUUACAGCUGAGUAAAGAGAUUCUAAAUCUCUAUUUGGUAUGAUGCACUUAGUCAUGUAUACGGGCGCACUGUGGUCCUAAAUCUUAUAAGCACAUCACAGGCAUGAAUGUAUACAAGCCCAACUGGCAUUUGUCUACCUAAUAUUAAAUUAUUUGGCAAUAAACAAAUACUUUAACA